rnacentral:sRNA from 1 species
CCCUAGCCCUGAUGGGAGCGACAUCCUUUUGUGGCGGGGUUCGCCGCAAAAGAUAUAGCCGGACAGCAGGAAAAAGC